rnacentral:rRNA from 1 species
GCAUAUCAAUAAGCGGAGGAAAAGAAACCAACAGGGAUUGCCCUAGUAACGGCGAGUGAAGCGGCAACAGCUCAAAUUUGAAAUCUGGCUCUCGGGCCCGAGUUGUAAUUUGUAGAGGAUACUUUUGAUGCGGUGCCUUCCGAGUUCCCUGGAACGGGACGCCAUAGAGGGUGAGAGCCCCGUCUGGUUGGAUGCCAAAUCUCUGUAAAGUUCCUUCGACGAGUCGAGUAGUUUGGGAAUGCUGCUCUAAAUGGGAGGUAUAUGUCUUCUAAAGCUAAAUACCGGCCAGAGACCGAUAGCGCACAAGUAGAGUGAUCGAAAGAUGAAAAGCACUUUGAAAAGAGAGUUAAAAAGUACGUGAAAUUGUUGAAAGGGAAGCGUUUAUGACCAGACUUGGGCUUGGUUAAUCAUCUGGGGUUCUCCCCAGUGCACUUUUCCAGUCCAGGCCAGCAUCAGUUUUCCCCGGGGGAUAAAGACUUCGGGAAUGUGGCUCUCUUCGGGGAGUGUUAUAGCCCGUUGUGUAAUACCCUGGGGGGGACUGAGGUUCGCGCAUCUGCAAGGAUGCUGGCGUAAUGGUCAUCAACGACCCGUCUUGAAACACGGACCAAGGAGUCGUCUUCGUAUGCGAGUGUUCGGGUGUCAAACCCCUACGCGUAAUGAAAGUGAACGCAGGUGAGAGCUUCGGCGCAUCAUCGACCGAUCCUGAUGUUCUCGGAUGGAUUUGAGUAAGAGCAUACGGGGCCGGACCCGAAAGAAGGUGAACUAUGCCUGUAUAGGGUGAAGCCAGAGGAAACUCUGGUGGAGGCUCGCAGCGGUUCUGACGUGCAAAUCGAUCGUCAAAUAUGGGCAUGGGGGCGAAAGACUAAUCGAACCUUCUAGUAGCUGGUUUCCCCA